rnacentral:rRNA from 1 species
ACGAACGCUGGCGGCAGGCCUAACACAUGCAAGUCGAACGCCCCGCAAGGGGAGUGGCAGACGGGUGAGUAACACGUGGGAACCUUCCCUAUGGUUCGGAAUAGCCCAGGGAAACUUGGGGUAAUACCGGAUAAGCCCUUCGGGGGAAAGAUUUAUCGCCAUUGGAUGGGCCCGCGUCGGAUUAGCUAGUUGGUGAGGUAACGGCUCACCAAGGCGACGAUCCGUAGCUGGUCUGAGAGGAUGAUCAGCCACACUGGGACUGAGACACGGCCCAGACUCCUACGGGAGGCAGCAGUGGGGAAUAUUGGACAAUGGGCGCAAGCCUGAUCCAGCCAUGCCGCGUGAGUGACGAAGGCCUUAGGGUUGUAAAGCUCUUUUGGCGGGGAAGAUAAUGACGGUACCCGCAGAAUAAGCUCCGGCUAACUUCGU